UCAGGAGAGAACACAAAUUUUGGUUUCUCAUUUCGGUUCCACUUAAUGUGUCGACUGAAAUAUUUUCCCUCUGUCGCUCCGAAACGGACGUAAAAA